UCGAACGGUAACAUUUACUAGCUUGCUAGAAGAUGACGAGUGGCGGACGGGUGAGUAAUGCUUGGGAACUUGCCUUUGCGAGGGGGAUAACAGUUGGAAACGACUGCUAAUACCGCAUAAUGUCUUCGGACCAAACGGGGCUUCGGCUCCGGCGCAAAGAGAGGCCCAAGUGAGAUUAGCUAGUUGGUAAGGUAACGGCUUACCAAGGCGACGAUCUCUAGCUGUUCUGAGAGGAAGAUCAGCCACACUGGGACUGAGACACGGCCCAGACUCCUACGGGAGGCAGCAGUGGGGAAUAUUGCACAAUGGGGGAAACCCUGAUGCAGCCAUGCCGCGUGUGUGAAGAAGGCCUUCGGGUUGUAAAGCACUUUCAGUUGUGAGGAAAAGUUAGUA
rnacentral:rRNA from 1 species